rnacentral:rRNA from 1 species
UGAGGAAUAUUGGUCAAUGGGCGGAAGCCUGAACCAGCCAAGUCGCGUGAGGGAAGACGGCCCUACGGGUUGUAAACCUCUUUUGCCGGGGAGCAAUGCCCAGCUCGCGAGCUGGGAAGGAGAGUACCCGGAGAAAAAGCAUCGGCUAACUCCGUGCCAA